AUGCUGGUCUCCACUGCUCCUCGUUGCGCUUGCUUUACUUGGCUCACGCCCUCCUCACCGGGCACGCCCCUUCCACCUCCUUAUUGGCUUCCUCGAGACACGUGCGGAAAGGGUGGUGGCGGAGCUGGGCUGGGGCCCGGACUCCGGAUGGACCCGAGCGGCCGAGCGGUCUCAAACUUGAGGUCGCAUGGACAGCCUGGCGCUGGGCCGGUGGCGACGGCGGAAGCUAGAGGAAGCGCCGGUUCCGAGGGACGCGAAACGGGCAUGCAGGACAUCAGAAGCCAAUGGACACGAGCGAGGCAGCCAUCAGGUGAACAUGAGUGUCCUGGGGUCUUGGAGCACAGAGGACAUGGAGUCUCUUCCAAGAGGCUGCCCCAAUGCAGCAGGGCCACCGGGCAGCCAGGGAAGGGCUGGCUCAGUGAUUCCUCAAAACGGUGGAAGGAACAUGAUUCAGCUUUGCCCAAGGUGUAUUGCUGGGGAAUCUGUCUUUUCAUUCUGCCUCCAGCAUGUUUUUCAAAUGUACCUCCUGGACCAUGGAAAGGGCAGGAGAUGUCUCGGGACAUUUUAACCAUACUGAGAAUCGUUAGAAGAUGGAAAUGGGCAAAGGUAAAGAUUCCAGUUUGAUUUUGAAUCCUCAGCGUGACUGCAAAUGUAAAUCCUUUACAGAUGGUUUUGGUACCCACCUGUUCAAAUAGCAGCCUGGUGCUGUUUGCUGCGAGAUUGUCCUCUCAUUCUGGUGAUACACCAUCCUCUGCAUGAGAACCAGGAGAGUCCAUGUCACUUUCGAAGGGCCCCUAAGUUGUUAUGAUUCACUACGGCCUCCAUUCAGAUGUGUCUUGCCUAAGAGAGAGACCAGCUGCAUUAUUUGAAAGUUAAAAAAAAUUCGUAUCAAACUUUCUAUGAGGUUUGGGAACCCUGUGGCUUAUGGAAUCAUAUCCAGAUGUUGCCCUGCUUUUCUAUUUUCAUAAUGCUUUAUGGGUGUAUCCAGGACUGCUCAUGUACUCUUUUUAAUUAAAAGAGUUAUUUUUAUAUUAUAAAAUGUUCUUAAAGUGAAUUUUAUUAAACAUUAGUAUCCAAUCUGUUCUGUGUCAUUCUCCAACUGAAGUUACCAAGGACAGGACCCCUUUUAUAUUAAAUGGAAAUUGCUCAUUUUCUCUUGGGUUUUCAGUGUUUUGUGUAACUGUGGAAACUGGUGUUAUUUUUCCUUGCAUUUGAAAACUUCCCAAGAUCUCAUGUUUUAUAAUAGACAAAGUUCUAAAGAAAUCAUGGUGCCAUUGAAUUGAUCUCAAGUUCUAGAGGAGGACCCGAGUCUCCUCUGUACGCUGUUUACAUCAUGUUACUCAUAGGGGCCAUGUUCCCUGCUGUGGAUGUCUUCAGUACUGACAUUUGGAAAAGCCACAAGAUCCAUAAAUGAUCAUGGUACAGAGAUGUGGGGUAGCUCCAUACUGGGAAGAUGGGCAGAUAAAGACAUGAUGUUGGAAGGAAACUAACAUAAUACUCCUGUGACGGGAUUAACCAGAAUCACUGUACACUACUAUUAACCCCAAAUGAGAUUCCAGCUCUGUGACUAGCAUAGAGAGUGCUAACCCAUGCUCAAAAAAUCAAGCUUCAAAAGUGAGAAAGUAUUGGGAUAUAUAACCUUAAGAAAGCUGUAGUUUUCUUUUCAAAAUGAGAUAUACACCUUAUUUGUUAAGCGAAAAAACCUUUUUUGUGUAUAAAUCCUUUCCUCAAUUUUGUGAAUAGAGGUGAUGUCCAUGUAUGUAUGGCUGGGUAUUUUGGUAAUCUCAGCAGCACACAAAUCAUCCAGAGGGCAUUGAGCAAUCCCCUGGGCACAAUCUUAGCCCAUGGAAAAUGCCCCACAUUUGAAUCAAGCAGACUGAGGUUCAUUGUUGUUACCACCAGACGUCUCACACCAGACGUGACACUGGUGACUCAGCUAUCUUCUUUGAGCCUCCUCAAAGAGGAGGAACUGUCACCAGCGUUGGUGAUGAGCACACCCACAGGAGUGUUGAUCCUCAGUGGUAGCCUCUUUUCCUCACUGCACCUUCCCUCCAGAUCUAGAGCAGGCCGCCUAUCCUGGAAAGGCAGAAGGUCACAAAAGAUGACUACAGAGUAAGCAUGACCAAAAGGCCAAGUUGAAGCUAGCCAGGAUUUGAGGACUAAGAGUUUUACCACAAAUGCCCAGAGUUCUUAGAUUAUUGAGAGAAUACUGAAUGGAGAAAGCUUGUCACAGCCACUUCAAAGACAUGGCAUCAGCAUUUUCUCAGAGUUUUUAGUCAUAAAUAGAUCAUAAAUAGCUCUGACAUCCCAGACUUGCCACCCAUCUUUCCUGGGACUGCACAUCUCAGCACCCACUCUUUGUCUCACCUUCUUAUCCAGCAAGGAUCCACACAUGGCCAUGCUACUCUAGACCAUGGCACAGCCUAGCAGCUUGGUCAUAGACCAAGGCCAAGCAGUCACUAGGCCUUUUUGGCACCAGGGACCAAUUUCAUGGAAGACAAGCUUUCUGCAAUUUGGGAUUGGGGUAGAGAGGGUGGUAGUGAUUAGGGGGGCAUAUAAUUUCUGGAUGAUUCAAAGCAGCACUCAAACUAGAUCCCUCAAAUGCAGCCAGGCUCACAGUUGGGUUUGAGUUCAAUAAGAAUCUAAUACAACCACUGAUCUGACAGGAGGCAGAUCUCAGACAGUGAUUUGACUUUAUUUACUUAUUGCUGAGACAAAACACCUGACAUCCAAAGUUAAAGGAGAAAGGUUUAUUUUAGCUCACAGUUUGUAGAGGUUUCAGUCCACAGUUGACUAGUUCCAAAGCAGGGCAACAUGGCACAGGUGUAUCUCAGAGUAGAAACUCCAUGCCAAGCAAGCAGGAGACAGCGAAGUAGCAAGGAGCAGCAGCAGCAGUCUGCCUUCUCUCUGAUCCUUUAUAUUCCAUACAGGUUACGAGCCUGUUGAUUGAUGUGACCCAUACUCAGGGUGAGACUUCCAUUAUCCACACCCAGUAUUACACCAUUAAUCCACAUUCACAUACCCGAAUCCAGACACCUUCGAAACUCCCCGCUUAUGAUCGCUCGAGGCUUUGGGGGGACAUCUAGAUACAAGCCAUACCAGGAAGUAGCUGUAAGUACAGGGCUUUGCUACCUUGCUCAUCUGCCUCUCCCCUCUGCCAUUUACUAGCAGAACAAUACCAUUUCCUGGUACAGAGGACAGGCACCCCCACUCUUGCCCAUUCUCCCUUCCUGGCUAUCACAGGAGCCUUCCUGGCUCCACUGCCACCUCUCUCCCCACCUCCUCAGUUCCAGAAUCAUCCGUAGCCACAAGCACAGCCUCUGCUCCUCCCUUUCACCCCAGUCCCUCUCCUUCAGGCCCAACAGCUGAGAAGGUAUGAAGAAUAUGAACAUUUUGUUAGGAAUGGUAUUAGCAAUCUUUUAAUGAUUAUAAAAGUAAUACUUGUUCACUGUAGAAGAACAUGGAAAAAACAAGAAGGAACACAAGCUUAUUCAUCCAGAUGACCACUGGUGGCCUGCUGCUCGUGGUCCUCCAGACACCUACUCUUUCUUGGUGCUAACCAGGGUCCUCCCAUAUCAUAAAAAAGUCAUUGGGUUUCUGUAAUCAAACCCAUGUAGAUAUGACCUUACAUAUUUAAUUCAGUGCAUUACCGCUGUAGAAAUAGGAAAACAAUUAACAUUUCUAGACCAUUAUGGCUGUUAAUUACUGUACAAUGCCAACUCAACACAGUAAAUUGGGAUAACAUCUUCCAAAGUCGACAGCACAGUUGAAGUUUCCAAAAAUUCAAAUUAUAUAUAUAUGUGUGUGUGUAUGUAUAUAUAUGUAUUUAUAUAUAUUUAUAUAAAAACAGUAAUAGCAGUAUGUUAUGCAUCAAUAGCAGAAGCUAAUAAAAUAUUCUCUAAUAAAAAAAAUAAUAUACGAC
ensembl:lincRNA